AUGGUGUCGUGGAGCGAUGAGACCAGUGAGGAUUCAGUCCUGAACAUCUCCUCCUCCUAUGAUGGCAUCAUCAAGCUUCCAGCUACGAUGCACGAUCCGUAUUUCAAUGGCACUGACGCAUAUGUGAAUGUCUUGUGUGAACACGGUGAGCCGGCCGAGCGCUUUGUAGCAUUUGAAGGGAUGCACAUGGGCAGGAGGUUUCUUGGAUGUGCUAAGAAGGAAGGCAUAAACUGUGGAGUAGUUCAAUGGAUUGAUUUUGAAUGGCCAGACUCAAUGGAGAAGGCAUUGGCCAAGCUAUGGGAUAUGUAUGAGGAGAUUAAGUCAGCUAGGACCAAUGACAAUCUAAAGAGUUCCUUUGCAAUUCACAACCUGACAGAAUAG
rnacentral:rRNA from 1 species